rnacentral:rRNA from 1 species
GACGAACGCUGGCGGCGUGCUUAACACAUGCAAGUCGAACGGUGAAGCUCCAGCUUGCUGGAGUGGAUCAGUGGCGAACGGGUGAGUAACACGUGAGCAACCUGCCCCUGACUCUGGAAUAAGCGCUGGAAACGGCGUCUAAUACUGGAUACGAGAAGGGUCCGCAUGGGCACUUUCUGGAAAGUUUUGCGGUUGGGGAUGGGCUCGCGGCUUAUCAGCUUGUUGGUGAGGUAAUGGCUCACCAAGGCGACGACGGGUAGCCGGCCUGAGAGGGCGACCGGCCACACUGGGACUGAGACACGGCCCAGACUCCUACGGGAGGCAGCAGUGGGGAAUAUUGCACAAUGGGCGGAAGCCUGAUGCAGCGACGCCGCGUGAGGGAUGACGGCCUUCGGGUUGUAAACCUCUUUCAGCAGGGAAGAAGCGAGAGUGACGGUACCUGCAGAAGAAGCACCGGCUAACUACGUG